rnacentral:miRNA from 1 species
UCUCUCUCUCUCUCUCUCUACUCUCUCUCUCUUUAAAAAAGAGAGAGAGAGAGAGAGAGAGAGAGAGAGAGA